rnacentral:miRNA from 10 species
GUGGACUAUCAAUUGCCAUACA